rnacentral:rRNA from 1 species
ACGCUUGCGAUGUGCCUAAGGUAUGCAAGUCGAACGAUUCCUGUAUCUUCGGAUACAGGGAGUGGCAAACGGCUGAGUAACGCGUAGGAACCUACCCCAAACUCGAGUAUAGCCCCGCGAAAGCGGGGGUAAUCCUCGAUAGCCCGUGAAGUAUUUUACUUCACGGUAAAGCUUUUGCGGUUUGGGAUGGGCCUGCGUCCUAUCAGGUAGUUGGUGAGGUAAAUACUCACCAAGCCUAUGACGGGUAGCUGGUCUGAGAGGAUGGUCAGCCAGACUGGGACUGCGACACGGCCCAGACUCCUACGGGAGGCAGCAACUAGGAAUUGUGCGCAAUGGACGAAAGUCUGACGCCGCGACAUCGCGUGGAGGAUGAAGGUCUUCGGAUUGUAAACUCCUUUUCUUACCGAACAAGUUCUGAGUGUAGGUAAGGAAUAAGUGCCUGCUAACCACGUGCCAGAAGCAUCGGUAAUACGUGGGGCACGAGCGUUAUCCGGAUUUACUGGGCGUAAAGAGAAGCGUAGGCGGCUCAAUAAGUUUGGUGUUAAAUCUUCCGGCUCAACCGGAAACAAGCACCGAAAACUAUCGAGAUUGAGUCGAGUAGGGAAGAGGGGAAUUCCUGGUGGAGCGGUUAAAUGCGUAGAUAUCAGGAGGAAUACCAAGGGCGAAGGCACCUCUUUGGACUCGUACUGACGCUGAGGCUCGAAAGCGUGGGUAGCAAAACGGAUUAGAUACCCGUGUAGUCCACGCCGUAAACGAUCCCUGUUAGAUGUA